rnacentral:lncRNA from 1 species
UGAGAUGCUUAAUGUUUUUCAGCCGCAGUGUUUGGUUCAACGUAAAACUGUGAAAAAGAAAUUUCGGUGGAAAAAAAGAAUUUCGGAGGAAAAUAAAUUUUACGUCAUCUAGUGUUUGGUUUGCAGGAAAAAAAAUAAAUUUUCGUUACGGUUGUUUGGUUGAAAGAAAAAAAAAGAGAAAAGUUAUAUAUUUUUUCUUAUUCUAUAUAUUUUAUAUUAUUGAUAUAUAAUUAUUAUCAUAUUACAUAUAUUAGUAUUAUAGAAAUUUUUGAGAAAAUCUUUUUACAACGAAACAAA